rnacentral:sRNA from 1 species
GGCUGGCUGCUCCAGUACCACACUGGUACCUCCAGAAGCUACAAGCCUAGACUAAGUAAAUGACCUUCUCAGUAGAGCAGGGUCGUGUUUCCAGCAAGGGUAAAUGAAGAACUGGGCUUGUCUACAAGAGCCUCCAAAAAUAAAACCUGCAGCUGAAGCAUCUUAGAGGGGACAAGGAUAAUGCAGAACUGGACCCAGAUCAAGAACAGUGGCCCCACAGCUGCUGUGUCC